AUUUUCCGGCCGCGCGGCUUGUGGAUGUGUAUCAUCUUUCACAUGAUAAACUAUUAUUACAAACUUCACGUGACUAACAGGGAGAGAAUACACAAGCUAUACAAACCUGGGGAAAUCAACGGUUAUCAUAAAGUCAGCCGAUAUCUCGUCCUCAGGUAAAGAAUUAUAAUGGGCAAGGGUGAAGGAGGCGCCGCCGGACUUUUGUGGGCUUUUCUGUGGUUUCUGGUUUUAAUAUUCCUCGGAUGGCCGAUCGGGUUCUUCAUCGCUUGGUUGUAUGUGCUUCUACUUCCGUUUGGAGCGUGUAUUGCGCCAAUCAAAGACGUCAAUCAACAGAUACUCAGAGUUGUGCAACUUCCGUUGACAUGCGCAGAGAAUAUGGUUGGAAUGAAACCAAUGUGUUAAACAUACAAUUUUAAAAUGUACUCUUGCAAACUACACUUUUAGGCAGCAAAGUACAAAUGUUAUUUAUUUUAUAUCGAACGUUUAUAUUUUUAAAUAAAUGUUGUGCCUGCAUGCAUGCAAUUUACAUUUUUGUAUUCAAACCAUACAAACAAAUAAAUAUGAUGAUUAUUAUUA